GACAUAUCCAUAUCGGAUGUCUUCAAGGAAAAGGAUUGACACACACACACACACUGAAUUCAACCGUAGCUACUAUUGCUAUUAUUAUUAUUUUUUUUGCAUUUAAAUUUUGUACAUUAUAAUCUAAUCUAGGACACAUCAAUGCAUGCAGGCCUGUUGCAGCGAUGGAAAACCAAACUUGCUGUAACUGUAGAUAAAUAAGAUGUUAUGAAGAUUUGAGGUGAUGCUGAGGAUGGUUGUUAGUUGGAGUGGAGUUAAAAUAUGAAAAUACACUGAAGAUUGAUCAACAUGAAA